UGCCUUAAAAGGCAGCAAGCUGCUGCCUUAUAUUAAGGCAGCCAGCUGCUGCCUUAUAUUAAGGCAGUAGCUUGCUGCCUUUUAAGGCA
rnacentral:miRNA from 1 species